AUUGACAAUGAACCACAGCCAGAUCACAAUUCUCUUAUGAAGUUUUGACCAGGGCAACCUGAAAAAUUAGGUCUCGAUGUCUUAGAGUUGCAUCUGUCUCAGUGAGCGUGCAUCCUUCUAUCAUCGAACCAGAAAGAUUAGUCAUUUGUGAAAACCUUCAGCCCAGGUGACCUGCUUGAAGGAGAGCUGCAAUGCAAGUUAUCUCCCAGGGUGGGAACUGUGGACUGCAAAGUCACAGAAUCUGAAGUUGGCAACUGACUUGGCAGUUUUCCAGCAAGUGAUAUGUGCUCUUCAGUGUGGAAAUCAAUUUUGUUCGCAAAGAGUUAAAGUAAGGAUUCAACGAGAUAAUGUUUAUAAAUCACAAGUCAUAGCCCUUGGAGUAGAACAGCCUCCCAGUAAAUGCCAAAUUAUUAUAACGGUCAUCAUCAACAUCGACAAACUACUGUUGUCCGGCAACCUCACAAGAAUUCUUUGUGUGAGCUUGUACUUUGACCACUGUUUUGAACGCUUGAAUGCAUGCUUUAAGUCGAAUCCUUUGGCCUGAUUUCUUUAGCUGACUUUAAUUGCUUGGGCAAACUGCAACCAUUCGUGUUCGCAAUCUUUCAUUCAUACAACCUUUCAGAAGCAUCCAAGAAACUUAGAGACUCCUCUAAGGAUGAUUAUAAGACCAGUGUCAGAGGGCUAGAGAGAAAUCUUCGAAUGUGAUGAUCCUGUCUGUUUCUGUAGAGCAAAAACUGAUGAAGAGAAGUAGAAAAGAGCCUGGAGAAAGAAGCGCUGAGAGACAGUUGAAGCAUGCAGUAUUAUCUUUUGAUGUCCUGCAUACAUUUCAGAAAAUUUAGCCAAAGAGGCCUUUCCCAGGCGCACGGUGCUGUUGUGAAUAAAGCCACAUCAAUUCAGUGAAUAUCAGCUCCAUUCCAGUGAUGGAGCUAAAAAGGGUCAAAGUAAACCAGCCUUUUGAAGAUAAUAAUGUGGACCUAAUGUCCCUCCAUGCCUCUUGCUGAGAUUUUCCAUUGAGCCU
rnacentral:lncRNA from 1 species